AUGAUCAUUUCAACAGCACAAAUGUUAAAAUCGGAAUGAUACAGAGAAGAUUAGAAUGGCCUUUAUGCAAGGAUGGCAUUUAAAUUCAUCAAGCAUUCCAUACCAAA